rnacentral:lncRNA from 1 species
CUCGUUUCGUCCACUUCGAUGCUCGUGGUAGUCGGGGAUGUGACGAUGUUGCUGGCGUCGAGGUUCGCUUGCGCGAGGUGCUAUGGCAUGAAGGGCCGCCUGGAGAGAUAUUUGAGAGGAAAGUUGAGGGGGUGCAUAGGGACUACUAAGAGGAGGAGGAGGGACGGCGGUAUGCCAAAGAGGAGGAGAGGGGCAAGAUGAGAGGAAGAGGGAGUGCCACUAGAGACCGAGAGGGAGAGGGGGGGUUCUCAAGUCGG